rnacentral:tRNA from 1 species
GGUGAAGUGGCCGAGAGGCUAAAGGCGCUCCCCUGCUAAGGGAGUAUGUAGUUAAAACUGCAUCCGGGGUUCGAAUCCCCGCUUCACCGUCA